ACAGCAGCAGCCACGGUAAUACGGAGGGGGCUAGCGUUGUUCGGAAUUACUGGGCGUAAAGCGCACGUAGGCGGCUUGGUAAGUUAGAGGUGAAAGCCCGGAGCUCAACUCCGGAAUUGCCUUUAAGACUGCCGAGCUAGUAGGUGAGAGAGGUAAGUGGAAUUCCGAGUGUAGAGGUGAAAUUCGUAGAUAUUCGGAAGAACACCAGUGGCGAAGGCGGCUUACUGGCUCAUUCUAGACGCUGAGGUGCGAAAGCGUGGGGAGCAAACAGGAUUAGAUACCCCAGUAGUCCCUGUCUCUUAUAC
rnacentral:rRNA from 1 species